rnacentral:rRNA from 1 species
GGCGUGCCUAAUACAUGCAAGUCGAGCGAACAGAUGAGGAGCUUGCUCCUCUGACGUUAGCGGCGGACGGGUGAGUAACACGUGGAUAACCUACCUAUAAGACUGGGAUAACUUCGGGAAACCGGAGCUAAUACCGGAUAAUAUAUUGAACCGCAUGGUUCAAUAGUGAAAGACGGUUUUGCUGUCACUUAUAGAUGGAUCCGCGCCGCAUUAGCUAGUUGGUAAGGUAACGGCUUACCAAGGCAACGAUGCGUAGCCGACCUGAGAGGGUGAUCGGCCACACUGGAACUGAGACACGGUCCAGACUCCUACGGGAGGCAGCAGUAGGGAAUCUUCCGCAAUGGGCGAAAGCCUGACGGAGCAACGCCGCGUGAGUGAUGAAGGUCUUCGGAUCGUAAAACUCUGUUAUUAGGGAAGAACAAAUGUGUAAGUAACUAUGCACGUCUUGACGGUACCUAAUCAGAAAGCCACGGCUAACUACGUG